AGUGAACGCUGGCGGUAGGCCUAACACAUGCAAGUCGAACGGCAGCACAGUAAGAGCUUGCUCUUACGGGUGGCGAGUGGCGGACGGGUGAGGAAUACAUCGGAAUCUACUUUUUCGUGGGGGAUAACGUAGGGAAACUUACGCUAAUACCGCAUACGACCUACGGGUGAAAGCAGGGGAUCUUCGGACCUUGCGCGAUUGAAUGAGCCGAUGUCGGAUUAGCUAGUUGGCGGGGUAAAGGCCCACCAAGGCGACGAUCCGUAGCUGGUCUGAGAGGAUGAUCAGCCACACUGGAACCGAGACACGGUCCAGACUCCUACGGGAGGCAGCAGUGGGGAAUAUUGGACAAUGGGCGCAAGCCUGAUCCAGCCAUGCCGCGUGGGUGAAGAAGGCCUUCGGGUUGUAAAGCCCUUUUGUUGGGAAAGAAAAGCAGCAGGUUAAUACCCCGCUGUUCUGACGGUACCCAAAGAAUAAGCACCGGCUAACUUCGUG
rnacentral:rRNA from 1 species